UCUUAACUUUUUUUUUUUUCUAGAGUCGUGAUGUUUGUUCCAGACUUUAUCCCUUCCCCUUGCCUUUUCCCAAAGACCGGUUUUGUGCGAUAGGGGACGAUAUUGAUGCCUGCGGAGGGGAUUCUGGAGGGCCAUAUGUCAUCAAAACAAAGGGAAGAUGGAUUCAGGUGGGGAUUGUAAGCCACGGCAGCUCCCACAAAUGCAAGAGCGGUACUAUGGGAUACUAUGCCAGUGUUCCCCGCCACAUGGACUGGAUCAAGCAACAGCUGGGCGAUUAACCUGUGCUGAAACGCCUCUCUCCUCCUGCCGCACGCUUUCUGAAACAACGAACAGCUAAUCAUGCCAUUUUUAAUUGCUCACGGUCGUUUUAUGUGCCCAAAAUGUUCAGAACUCUUGUGUACGUUUUUGGAUAUCAGUAAUCGAUUAUUAUUAUUUUAAAUAUAUAUAUUUUUUAAUGGGUCUCGGUUCUCAAACUCGCAGAUUUUCAAGUUGCAUCAAUAACAUACCGUGGUUAAUUAGUGAUCUCCAAAUGUUUUAAAAACCAGUUAGGUCCGGAAGGGAGCGGAAGGUCUAAGUGAAGCACGUGUAUUAGUUCUGUUAAACGUUUAGUUAAUCAAUCAAUCAAUCAAUCAAUCUGUCAAUCUUUAUUUUAUAUAGUGCCUUCCGUAGUGGACCAGGCAGAUUUAGAGAACUGAUUUGAAGUCAUGAUUGAUGAACCGAAACCCACGAGCCAGAAUCCAGCGGUUAGAGAAAAAGGGGGUCUUGAUACCAGGAGGUUCAAAUCCCAGCCACUGACUCCCUGUUUGUGUGUGUAUGUGUGUGUGUGACA